rnacentral:rRNA from 1 species
AGAUUGAACGCUGGCGGCAUGCCUAACACAUGCAAGUCGAACGGGAGUAGCAAUACUCUAGUGGCGGACGGGUGAGGAAUACGUAGGAAUUUGCCCUUAAGUGGGGGAUAACCCGGGGAAACCCGGAUUAAUACCGCAUGACCUCGAAAGAGCAAAGUGGGGGAUCGCAAGACCUCACGCUUUUGGGAGAACGCCUACGUCGGUAUUAGCUUAGGUUGGUGGUAAGGUAAGUGGCGUCCGACCGAAGGCGACGACUACCGUAACGUGGUCUAGAGGAAGGAUGACUCGAGUCCACCGAACCGGAACUGGAACGACCGACCGGGU